ensembl:lncRNA MPHOSPH6-DT MPHOSPH6 divergent transcript
UUGCGCGCGGGCGCGGCCACUCAGCGGGCGCUCUGCUGACUGAGAGGCUCGGGUACUAGGGAAACCACCCCCGCCAUGGGUAUGCCCAAGACAACGAUAUGGAUCCUAAGUACUGUCAUAGAGAUGGAAGAUGUGGAAGGCAGCAUAAUCUGGAUUUAAAGCGCUCUGAGAUCCAUCCUUGGGAAAGUGACAGCUAAGCCGAAACCUCAAGAUGAGUUACACGUUUGUGAGACAAAAAAAUGGAAAGGGGCAUGGAGGAGUGAAGUCCAAUAGAAAAGGGUUAAAGUGAUGCUUGUUGUAUAGGUGACAAGUCUGGGGAGGCAAGUUACGGCCAGAUCUUAAAGGCCAUGUAUUAAAUUGGUAGGAUUUUAUCUGAAAGUUUCUGCAAGGCUAUUGAACUGUUUUAAGCAGUAGAGUGACACCG